rnacentral:rRNA from 1 species
ACACGCAUGACACACUGCAUAUCAAUAAGCGGAGGAAAAGAAACUAACAAGGAUUCCCUUAGUAACGGCGAGUGAAGCGGGAAGAGCUCAAAUUUGAAAUCUUCAAGGGUUCUACCUUGACGAAUUGUAGUUUAAAGAAGUGUUUUCUGUUAGAUGAGGUGGCUAAAAGUUCUUUGGAAUAGGACAUCAUAGAGGGUGAGAAUCCCGUAUUUGAUCACUUCUUACUAACGUUGUGAUACACUUUCAAAGAGUCGGAUUGUUUGGGAAUGCAGUCCAAAAUGGGUGGUAAAUUUCAUCUAAAGCUAAAUAUUAGGCGAGAGACCGAUAGCGAACAAGUACCGUGAGGGAAAGAUGAAAAGAACUUUGAAAAGAGAGUUAAACAGUACGUGAAAUUGUCAAAAGGGAAGCGUUUGACACCAGUGUUGUUUUUCCGAAAAUCAAUUACGAAUGUUUUAUUUUUGAGGAGUUAUGACUUCAUCGGCUUGCUUCUCUCUUUAUGAAACUUUCUUAAUGCACUUUUCGGUUAACAAGUCAACAUCAAUUUCUUUUGUUGUAAAAGAGUAUGAGGAAGGUGGCUUUCUUUUCGGAGAAAGUGUUUAUAGCCUUGUACCUCUGCAAUCGGAGAGAUUGAGGUCUGCAGCGUAGAUCCUUCGGGGUUAGAUACAUUUGUGCUAAGUUAUAGCUUUUCAUAGACAACUUGUUGACUAUGUUAAGUCUUGUAGCUUACUCGCUUAUGCUAUUUUACCUACGCUUAGGAUGUUGACGCAUGAGAUAUACGC